rnacentral:rRNA from 1 species
GCAUAAAUAAUAUAAUCUUCUAAAUUAUAAAAUAAUAUAAACAACUAAACAAAUUAAGUAAAUAAACAAGUACAGAAAUGGAAAUAACAAUUAAUAAAAGUAAAUUUUAAUAAAUGUACCUUGUGCAUUAUGGUUUUACAAGAAAACAAUUAAAAAACAUAAAUCCCGAAUUCUAAAUGAGAUGUUAAAUUGCUGUUAUGAACCCAUUAAUAACUGUGGAAGAAGAUUUAAAAGACAAUUUAACAGAGGCUACAUACCAUCCGCAUAAGAAUAUAGCUGGUUUUCAACAAAAAUUAUACAUUAAAACAUAUAAUCCUAUUAUAGUGUAAUAUUAUUGAGGAUAAGCCCAAUAAUUAAUGCAAUUAACCCAAUAUUCUAUCCUAACCCAUAGGCCUAAAAUCAGCCAGAUAAAAUACUUUACCGUAAUAUAAACAGAUAUAAUAUAUAACAUACCCAUGCAUAAAAAAGUUGAAAUAAUGGAAAAACUAUUUUUCCCAUAUAUACUAUGUAAAAAUAAGUAUUACAAUCCUAUAAAAUAACAACUCAAUAAAAUAACAACACAUAAAGAAAUAAUAAUUAAUUAAGGAACUCGGCAAACCAUUAUUUCGACUGUUUAACAAAAACAUUGUCUUAUGAAUCAAAUAUAAGAUAAUACCUGCCCAGUGACACACUUGUUCAACGGCCGCGGUAUCCUAACCGUGCAAAGGUAGCAUAAUCAUUUGCCUAUUAAUUGUAGGCUAGAAUGAAGGGGUUAACGAAAUAAAAACUGUCUCAAUUAAUUACCUAAAAAUUAUUUUCUAUCCGAAGAAAGGUAGAUAGUCUCGAAGGACAAGAAGACCCUAUAGAGCUUAAUUUUAACUAUAGAAAUAAACUAUAAAAAUAUUCGGUUGGGGCGACCCAGGGCUAAACAAUCACCCAUUAAAUAAAAGAUAUAUUAAUCUAAUAAGUGACCCUCUAAAGAUCAUAAGAACAAGCUACCUUAGGGAUAACAGGCUAAUCCCACUUAAGAGUCCUUAUCAACAGUGGGGGUUGGCACCUCGAUGUUGGCUUAGGGUACCCAUAUAGCGCAAAAGUUAUAUAAAGAUGGUUUGUUCAACCAAUAAUUCCCUACAUGAGCUGAGUUCAGACCGGCGUGAGCCAGGUUAGCUUCUAUCCUCGAUCGCAUAAUUCUGCUCCUAGUACGAAAGGACCUGAACAGAAUAAUUACUUAUUUAAAAGAAUCCAUAUAAUUAAAUAUAAACAAAAAAAUAAUAUAAACUAUA